CACGAGGCACGGAGCCAAGGAAGACAUGCUGCUGCUGGGCCGGAAGGCCGCCUGUGAUCAUCCACGGCUUUUGCUAGAACUCUCUCCUCCUCCUCCUGGAGUCGCCCCAAAACAAACCCGGAUUCUGAGCGUUUGUAGAAAAAUCGCUGGGAUUUGGAGAGGAAGACUGGACUCAGAAACCUUCCAGGUCCUUGAAAGUGCAUCUCUGACCUGAGACAAUCGGACAGAUGGAAAUAUUUUCAAAAGAUGGAAAAUGUUAGGAAGAACUUUAUGAUUAAAAUUGUCCAAGGUCUGAAUCUACAGCUGAGGAAUCUCCUGGUCUGCUUGCUGCCAUAGAGGAUCAGCACCUAGGAGGAAUCAUAAGCCCAGCAAACCUGAUUUGAGCAGGCUAACUCUGCUCCCUAUCUGGAUUCUGGAGGGCUCUGCUGCAAGCUGAUCAGGGACACUCACACAGAGGCUCUCCAGCCAGGGGAAAUAACCCAAAUGAUACAGAAGUAAGGGAACUGGACUUUCA